UGAACCACCUGAUCCCUUCCCGAACUCAGAAGUGAAACCUCUUAGCGCUGAUGGUAGUGUGGGGUUACCCAUGUGAGAGUAAGUCAUCGCCAGCU
rnacentral:rRNA from 2 species